rnacentral:rRNA from 1 species
UACGCGGGCGGUUUGUUAAGCGAGAUGUGAAAGCCCCGGGCUCAACCUGGGAACUGCAUUUCGAACUGGCAAACUAUAGUGUGAUAAAGGGUGGUAGAAUUUCAGGUGUAGCGGUGAAAUGCGUACAGAUCUGAAGGAAUACCGAUGGCGAAGGCAGCCACCUGGGUCAACACUGACGCUCAUGUACGAAAGCGUGGGGAGCAAACGGGAUUAGAUACCCCGGUAGUCCACGCCGUAAACGAUGUCUACUAGAAGCUCGGAACCUCGGUUCUGUUUUUCAAAGCUAACGCAUUAAGUAGACCGCCUGGGGAGUACGGCCGCAAGGUUAAAACUCAAAUGAAUUGACGGGGGCCCGCACAAGCGGUGGAGCAUGUGGUUUAAUUCGAUGCAACGCGAAGAACCUUACCUACACUUGACAUACAGAGAACUUUCUAGAGAUAGAUUGGCGCCUUCGGGAACUCUGAUACAGGUG